AACGAACGCUGGCGGCGUGCCUAACACAUGCAAGUCGAGCGAGAAAGCCCGCAAGGGUGAGUACAGCGGCGCACGGGUGCGUAACACGUGGGUAAUCUGCCCUGAAGCCCGGAAUAACUCCUCGAAAGGGGUGCUAAUGCCGGAUGAGCCCACGGGGUCUUCGGACCCUGAGGGAAAAGGUGGCCUCUGCAUGCAAGCUAUCACUUCAGGAUGAGCCCGCGGCCCAUCAGCUCGUUGGCGGGGUAAUGGCCCACCAAGGCUACGACGGGUAGCUGGUCUGAGAGGACGAUCAGCCACACUGGAACUGAGACACGGUCCAGACUCCUACGGGAGGCAGCAGUGGGGAAUCUUGCGCAAUGGGCGAAAGCCUGACGCAGCAACGCCGCGUGUGUGAUGAAGGUCUUCGGAUCGUAAAGCACUGUCGCGAGGGACGAAUAAGGGCCGGGCGAACAUCCCGGUCCGAUGACGGUACCUCGAGAGGAAGCACCGGCUAACUCUGUGCCAGCAGCCGCGGUAAUACAGAGGGUGCUAGCGUUGUUCGGAAUUAUUGGGCGUAAAGCGCGUGUAGGCGGCCUUGUAAGUUGGGUGUGAAAGCCCUCGGCUUAACCGAGGAAGUGCGCCCAAAACUGCUCGGCUUGAGUACCGGAGAGGGUGGCGGAAUUCCCGGUGUAGAGGUGAAAUUCGUAGAUAUCGGGAGGAACACCAGUGGCGAAGGCGGCCACCUGGACGGCUACUGACGCUGAGACGCGAAAGCGUGGGGAGCAAACAGGAUUAGAUACCCUGGUAGUCCACGCUGUAAACGAUGAGCGCUAGGUGUUGUGGGUGUUGACCCCUGCAGUGCCGAAGCUAACGCAUUAAGCGCUCCGCCUGGGAAGUACGGCCGCAAGGCUA
rnacentral:rRNA from 1 species